AAGCAGAGCCAGGUCCCAGCUGCCAGGGGAAUGUCGGUGACGCAGCCUGCCUUCCCACUCUCGCCCUGGUGGGGGAAGUGCUGCGGUCUUUCUGGGCUCCACAUUUGAAUGAUUCGAGGAAUCAAUGAGGUCGCACUAGAAAAGAUGCUCUGGCCCCCUAGGGGACGCUCGUGGGGACUGCACCUCUUAAAAAGUUGCAGUCGUACUUAGGCAGUUUCCCUACUUCCCUUAUUUCCUAACUUGUGGUUUCUUUUCCACCUCCCGCUCGGGUAUCCCUCGCUCUUGGUCAGGCCUUCGAAGUUCUGAUGAUUAAAGGCUCUGAGCCAAGACUGGAGACCAACAGAUCUGUUUCGGAUCAAAGGUUCCCAGGCCUCACCUGCACCCCGGGCGCGGCCCGUAGCUCUCCUCCUUCUCAGCGCAACACUGCUGCUCCCUGGUGGCGCCGAGAGGAAACGCAUUCUGGGAGACUGAACUGGCCACUGCUUGGUGAGUUGGGAACCUACCAUUUUCCUACCAUUUUCUUCUCUGUUUUGUAAAUGGUGUCAGGUCACAUUCUUCUGCUCAGAACUUUGCUGUGUUCCCUCUCAAGCAAAAUUCAAAGUACAUUGGCCUGAUUGACUUUCCCCAGCCAACUUUUCUUAGUUGACUUCAGCCAUACUGGCCUAGCUGGUCCUGGAUCAGGUUUUCACAUAUGGCAGGCUUAGCUACCAGAAUUCCCUUCCUGUUGCGGACACCUGCUACCAUUUCCCCUACGGCCGCUUUUAAAGGCAAAGGCGUCUCAUAAAAUUUCACCCUGUUCCCAUGUGGCUUAAAAAUCAUGGUUUAAAAAAUAGAGGAAAUCGCCACUGCCGUCAUUUUUACCACUUGUAAUCCUAAACCAGUUGCAUGUGUUACUUUGUGUUUUGUAGAUGUCAUUAUUAUCAAUAUGUUAUCAAUACCUAAAACUUGGUCAUCAUCUCCAACGUAGGAAAAAAAGAAUCUGUUUUUGAUUAGAACCCACACUAAUCACUUUCAUUCAACAUUUUUACCAUCCCCAAAGAUAACGUCUUCCACGUAGAACUCUUGAGAGUAGAAUCUCAGCAUAUACCCCAGGGCAGGCUUAUCCCCAACUUCUCUCGCCCACUUUCCUCCCUUCAAACCAUUUACUGUCAUCUGAUAUUUUACUAAUAAGAUUUUUACCACCUAUCUUAUUCCGUCCCAAAGACAACAUUGCUUAGCAAAUAUUCCAUCCCUCCAUUUCCUGGCCCUUCUGCAGUUAGCUGGGGCUAUCCUGUCAGUUAUACCGAGUAGCAUAUAAGCAAAAGUGAGGAGGGUCCCCCCUCCCAGGCCAGAACAUUUAAUAGCCAGUGUGUGGAACAAGACCCCGCCCCCUUCUCCUGCCACAGCAAAUAUUUCAGAUGGCAUCUGUGGGGCCCUUGAGGAGGAGCACUCUCCACUAGCCAAUGCUGGGCAUAAAAGAGUGAGAAAAGAAUAGAGUUUCGAAGCUAAGAUUCCAGAAUGGGUUUCUUAGGUUAUGGGAUCUAGGCUGUCCCAGUCAGUAGGUCCCAGCUACACCAAGGGGACGGUUUGUUGAUGACUGGAGAGUCUUUAUUACUACAGGAGAGGAGGCCCUCAUCAUGGCUUCCCACUGGACUUCAGAAACAGUAGAGACCAGGACCUCUCCCUCCCCCUUCCAAUGGACAUGAAGCCCUUGUCCCAUUCCCAUGUCAGGUACUUUCCAUCUCUGUGACACAUGCCAGCCGGUGAGAAACGGGUGUUGUUUGCUUAUUUGUUUAAAUCUUGGUUCAUGGUUUCAAAGGUUUCUGGGCACGGCUGGCAGGCUGCAUCAUCUGGGGCUUGCAUUGCAUGGUGGGAGAGGCACAGAACCAAGUUCAGUGCUUGCUUCAUGGAGGCCAGGACACAGAGAGGCAGACAGGAAGAGGACAGGGACAAUAUAGACCUAAGGACACAGUUGUAGUCCUGCUACCUGGGUCCCAUGUCCCAGUGGUGGACCAGCAUGAUGCCAUCUUAAGAUUAAGAGCUGGGCUGGAGAGAUGGCUCAGCAGUUAAGAGCACUGACUGCUCUUCCGAAGCUCCUGGGUUCAAAUCCCAGCAACCACAUGGUGGCUCACAGCCAUCUGUAAUGAGAUCUGAUGGCUUCUUCUGGUGUGUCUAAAGACAGCUACAGUGUACUUACAUAUAAUAAAUAAAUCUUCAGAAAAGAAUUAAGAGCCAUCUUGUUACAAGGUCAUUCCCGAUUUCUAUAAAACUGGCGUUUGAUCAUGAUUUGACACAUUUCUUGUGCAUGUUCCACCUCUUAUAAAUACUGUGACCUCCACCCUGAUGAAAUGCUCUGCCAAAUAAUUUUGAACUGUUCCUCUGAGGUCCUACAUAACCAAAACCCCUUGAAAGCCCUCUGGCCUUGAAGUUUUGGAGCUAGUAUAAAGCCCACCUUUUCCUGGGUUUGAUGCGGUUUUCUCAAACUCCACUUUAGAGACCUAUAGCCCCAUCUGACAGAAAAUAAAACUUGCCUCAUUUGACC
rnacentral:lncRNA from 1 species